rnacentral:rRNA from 1 species
UACGAAGGGGGCUAGCGUUGUUCGGAAUCACUGGGCGUAAAGCGUAUGUAGGCGGAUCAAAAAGUUAGAUGUGAAAUCCCUGGGCUCAACCCAGGAACUGCAUUUAAAACUAGUGAUCUAGAAUUUGGUAGGGGCCAGUAGAAUUUCCAGUGUAGAGGUGAAAUUCGUAGAUAUUGGAAAGAAUACCAGUGGCGAAGGCGACUGGCUGGGCCAAUUUUGACGCUGAGGUGCGAAAGCGUGGGGAGCAAACAGG